rnacentral:rRNA from 1 species
GAUGAACGCUGGCGGCGUGCCUAAUACAUGCAAGUCGAGCGAACAGACGAGGAGCUUGCUCCUCUGACGUUAGCGGCGGACGGGUGAGUAACACGUGGAUAACCUACCUAUAAGACUGGGAUAACUUCGGGAAACCGGAGCUAAUACAGGAUAAUAUAUUGAACCGCAUGGUUCAAUAGUGAAAGACGGUUUUGCUGUCACUUAUAGAUGGAUCCGCGCCGCAUUAGCUAGUUGGUAAGGUAACGGCUUACCAAGGCAACGAUGCGUAGCCGACCUGAGGGGGUGAUCGCCCACAUGGGAACUGAGCCACGGUCUAGACUCCUACGGGAGGCCGCAGUAGCGAAUCUUCCGCAAUGGGCGAAAGCCUGACGGAGCAGCGCCACGUGAGUCAUGACGGUCUUCGGAUCGUAAAACUCUGUUAUUAGGGAAGAACAAAUGUGUAAGUAACUAUGCACGUCUUGACGGUACCUAAUCAGAAAGCCACGGCUAACUACGUG